rnacentral:rRNA from 1 species
UACGUAGGGGGCAAGCGUUGUUCGGAAUUACUGGGCGUAAAGGGCGCGUAGGCGGCCCAGCAAGUCGGGAGUGAAAGCCCGGGGCUCAACCCCGGAAUGGCUUUCGAAACUGCUGAGCUAGAGUACAGAAGGGGCAACCGGAAUUCCCAGUGUAGCGGUGAAAUGCGUAGAUAUUGGGAAGAGCACCUGAGGCGAAGGCGGGUUGCUGGGCUGAUACUGACGCUGAGGCGCGAAAGCCAGGGGAGCAAACGGG